rnacentral:lncRNA from 1 species
AUGCUGCUAUGAAUCGCCUUUGUCCCAUGAUCCUGUGCUCACCAGUCCUACAAUUACCCUUUUCUUCCUAGACUUUAAAGUUGGGAUCAGACACAAGGAUACUUUGAUUUCUUUACCCUACACCAGCCACAGUAUCUGAUUUAAUAUAGGAGCUUAAUAUAACUUUAAUGAGGAGAUAAAUGGAUGAAGAAAGACAGGAGUGAAGAAAUGGAGUCACUGCAAAAAUAAAACAACAAAAGGAGCUUACCAGUGUGCAAGCCUCCGGAGCAGGGACAGGCGUUAGUAUAUUUUAUAUUUUUUAAUUGUGGUAGCAUACAAACCACAAGGUUGACUGUCUGUGCCAUCUUCAGGCGCACACUCAGGCUUCUCCAUCCUCAGUGCACACUCAGGUCUCCUCCAUCCUCAGUGCACACUCAGGUCUCCUCCAUCCUCAGUGCACACUCAGGUCUCCUCCAUCCUCAGGUGCACACUCAGAUCUCCUCCAUCCUCAGGCGCACACUCUGGUCUCCUCCAUCCUCAGUGCACACUCUGGUCUCCUCCAUCCUCAGGUGCACACUCAGGUCUCCUCCAUCCUCAGGCACACACUCAGGUCUCCUCCACCCUCAGGUGCACACUCAGGUCUCCUCCAUCCUCAGGCACACACUCUGGUCUCCUCCAUCCUCAGGCGCACACUCUGGUCUCCUCCAUCCUCAGUGCACACUCUGGUCUCCUCCAUCCUCAGGUGCACACUCAGGUCUCCCCCAUCCUCAGUGCACACUCAGGUCUCCUCCAUCCUCAGUGCCCACUCAGGCUUCUCCAUCCUCAGGUGCACACUCAGGUCUCCUCCAUCCUCAGGUGCACACUCAGGUCUCCUCCAUCCUCAGUGCACACUCAGGUCUCCUCCAUCCUCAGUGCACACUCAGGUCUCCUCCAUCCUCAGUGCACACUCAGGCUUCUCCAUCCUCAGGCACAUACUCAGGCUUCUCCAUCCUCAGGUGCACACUCAGGUCUCCUCUAUCCUCAGGCACACACUCAGGUCUCCUGCAUCCUCAGUGCACACUCAGGUCUUCUCCAUCCUCGGUGCAUGCUCAGGUGUCCUCCAUCCUCAGGUGCACACUCAGGUCUUCUCCAUUUUAAGUGCACACACUCAGAUAUUUGUGUCUGUGUUUCCCUGAUGAUCAGUGGUGGUGAACAUCUCUGCAUGCGCUUAUCAGCCACGGGUGAUACCUUAUAUUUUGACGAGGGGUUGAUGGUAGUUAGCCUCAUAGAUGGGCGUUUGAACUUUGUGGUCAAGCAACUCCGCUGCUGUGUUUCUGCCCUGAGUGGCUUGUUACUGUCUCCUCGUUACAUAUUGACCAGCUGUCAGUCUGGUGCCUGGAGCUUUGCACCUGUGAGCUCAUCCGAUUCUCA